rnacentral:rRNA from 1 species
UGCGAAGGGGGCUAGCGUUGCUCGGAAUCACUGGGCGUAAAGGGUGCGUAGGCGGGUCUUUAAGUCAGGGGUGAAAUCCUGGAGCUCAACUCCAGAACUGCCUUUGAUACUGAAGAUCUUGAGUUCGGGAGAGGUGAGUGGAACUGCGAGUGUAGAGGUGAAAUUCGUAGAUAUUCGCAAGAACACCAGUGGCGAAGGCGGCUCACUGGCCCGAUACUGACGCUGAGGCACGAAAAGCGUGGG